GGCCGCGGGAAUUCGAUUCAGGCCUAACACAUGCAAGUCGAACGGCAGCACGGACUUCGGUCUGGUGGCGAGUGGCGAACGGGUGAGUAAUAUAUCGGAACAUACCCAGUAGUGGGGGAUAACUAUCCGAAAGGAUAGCUAAUACCGCAUACGAUCUGUGGAUGAAAGCAGGGGAUCUUCGGACCUUGUGCUAUUGGAAUGGCCGAUAUCUGAUUAGCUAGUUGGUAGGGUAAAAGCCUACCAAGGCGACGAUCCGUAGCUGGUCUGAGAGGACGACCAGCCACACUGGAACUGAGACACGGUCCAGACUCCUACGGGAGGCAGCAGUGGGGAAUUUUGGACAAUGGGGGCAACCCUGAUCCAGAAAGGCCGCGUGAGUGAAGAAGGCCCUCGGGUUGUAAAUUAAGGGGUCAGGGAAGAAACGGAGUUCUCUAAUAUAGGAUUCUAAUGAC
rnacentral:rRNA from 1 species